rnacentral:rRNA from 1 species
GAUGAACGCUGGCGGCGUGCCUAAUACAUGCAAGUCGAGCGAACGGACGAGAAGCUUGCUUCUCUGACGUUAGCGGCGGACGGGUGAGUAACACGUGGAUAACCUACCUAUAAGACUGGGAUAACUUCGGGAAACCGUAGCUAAUACCGGAUAAUAUUUUGAACCGCAUGGUUCAAAAGUGAAAGACGGUCUUGCUGUCACUUAUAGAUGGAUCCGCGCUGCAUUAGCUAGUUGGUAAGGUAACGGCUUACCAAGGCAACGAUGCAUAGCCGACCUGAGAGGGUGAUCGGCCACACUGGAACUGAGACACGGUCCAGACUCCUACGGGAGGCAGCAGUAGGGAAUCUUCCGCAAUGGGCGAAAGCUUGACGGAGCAACGCCGCGUGAGUGAUGAAGGUCUUCGGAUCGUAAAACUCUGUUAUUAGGGAAGAACAAAUGUGUAAGUAACUGUGCACAUCUUGACGGUACCUAAUCAGAAAGCCACGGCUAACUACGUG